UGGAGGAUAUAGAAUCAGAAUUGUUAAGGUUGGAAGAGACCUUUAAGAUUACCAAGUCCAACUAUUAAUCCAGCACUGCCAAGUUCACCACCAAACCAUGUCCCCAAGUGGCACAUCUGUACAUCUAUAGAUAAACACAUCUAUACAUCUAUAAACACCUCCAGGGAUGGGGACUCAGCCACUUCCCUGGGCAUCCUGUUCCGUGGAGAAAUUUUUCCCAAUCUUUGGUCUAAACCUUGGUGAAAACCAAGGUUUUCACAGGACUUCCCCAAGAGCUGCCGGGAGGAAGUUUGUAACAACUGAGUGUAUGACAGGAUUUAAACUAAGUGUAACUUAGUUCAGGCUGAAUGUUUCUCAUGAAUCUGACAAUGUUUAGUAUGUUACAUGUAUUGUAUCAUGGAAGUAACAGUAACUGCUGAACACCACAAGUUCACUAGAAAUCUCCUUGAAACAAUAAUUGUAUCUCUCAAAUUAAGCUUGGAAUUACUGUUGCCUGUCAGAUGAAAAUAGCCCUUGAAAGAACAAGUCAAUACAGGAUUUCAGAAAAUCCUACAAAAAUCAGAAAUAAAUGGAAAAUGCAUUCAAAGAAACUCUGGUGUAAUAGAGGGAGCAUCAUUAAUGGUUUUUUCUUUUCUUUGAAAUGAUAGAAAAAAUACUCAUUAAAGAAUUUGUUCAUUUUAUUUUACAUGGAAGGAACUACUCUUCUGUGGAUGAGCAUGUGUGAUGGUUGUAUUGACAAUCAACUGCUGACAGAUAAUAAGACUUUGUUGUUGAAAAAAAUAUAUGUGUCUUUUCAGGACUUUUAAAAUUGGAAUGUAGUUAUUGCUCAUCAAUUUACAAUUGGUUGUUGUGUAUUAAAUAAUUUCCUGAGGCUUUCUUGCAAUGUUCACAAGCAACAUUGAAGAUGCUGAAUUUUUAGAAAGAACUAUUCCAGGCAAGAUAAAAAAGACUGUAGAUUUCAUGGGCUGCAGAACACCCUGAGGUGAAAUUACAUGAUGAAUUUUUCAAGCCUAACUUCACGGCAGAUGAAUUAUACAUUAAUAGUUUAUUUUGAACAAAGCUUGGCACUUCUUCUUGGAUUGAACCAAUAAUAUUAAAUUACCUGUUGCAUUGAAUUAAUCUGGAUGUUACCUGGGGCACAGUGGCAUUUUCCUUUUGCAUUUCCUUUUAACAUAUACUUUUAUAUGCCCACACCCAGUUUGAAAUAACACAGGUAUAGUUCUGUGUUUAAACCAGUAAAUUUAAAUUUAAACCAGUAAAUUUAAAUGCCUGGGCCAGCACUGUUAACCCCAGUCAGCAACAAUCCCCUAAUUCCCACAUCACUGUAAUAGUUACCACUUAGAUAAAGCUUUUGAAGAGGUCAUCUUGCAGAGAUUUUCAUGCAGCACCAUUUCUGUAUAAUUUCUCCUUCUCUCCAUUACUUUAGUAUAUGCAGCUUUUUUCAAAAGUGUCUCUGUAGCUUGCCCUAGCUGUUGUAGUGGGCAGGUACAUCACCAGGGAGGCUUCUAGAUGAUCAGAUCUUUAUUUCCUCAAAGCUUUUGCCCUCAAGGAACUGUAGAAGCAUGAGAAAAAGACAUUUUUGGUAGCAAAAGGUUUUCUGGGUCAUUGUAAAGUAAAGGCAAAAGUGAAAGUAAAGUGUGGAUCAACAACAUGCAAAGGUAGAGAAACUGCAAGAGUCAUACACAAAAAGUGAAGAAGGAAGGAAAAAGCUCUUCUCCCUCAUUUGUUCUUCACACUAGUGCAUGCCCAUGUGCACCUCACAUUUCUGCAGUUAGAUGGAAUUGGAUGAUACAGUCCUUGGGAAUGACCCUGAGCUGUAGUAACAGCUGGAAUAAAUGGUCCAGAAUCUCAUUCUGAAAAUGAGUUUACUGAGAAGGGUGCAGACCUUGUGGGAGACCAGGAUCUUCUUCAGCUGAACCUGACCUGGAAGAGAUAAAAUGCAAACAUCACCAAGGAAGGAAAGUAUCUCAAGCUGAGUAUCCUAGGCAGCUUAACCACAUUUGAUCAGAGACUGAUCCUGUUCUCAAGGGGGAAAGUGCUGAUGAAUGAAGACACCUUUUCUGAACUGAGUGCCCUGGAGAGAAUUGAAGCCCCCAACACAAGAAAGCAGAAGGAAAGAAAGAAGUGUCAGUUGCAAAAGUGGGAGUGAAAGGUGCAUAUGGAAUCAGAAGAUAGUAUACUCAUAAUUUCAGGUUUUGUAAGGCAUUAAGCAUUCAGCAGAGAUCUUGGAAACCCUCCAGGUGUUUUGUCACCAGUUUUUCUCUAUUUUUUCUGCUUACCAGUAGGUCAUCAGAACAUGGCACAAUACCUUUUGCAUCAGCUGCAAGGGGAGGAUGAGAAAGAUUAGUACACAUUUGUGUUGAUGUAUGUGAGCAAGCAAUGUUCUGUGCUGGUUUUGCUUGUGUGAUGCCAAAUGUCCUAAGCAUGACUGUGCUUGUUGCUCAAUAAAGUUUCUGAAAAUAUUAUGACUUGUCUAAAGAAA